GGAUUAGAUACCCUGGUAGUCCACGCCGUAAACGAUGUGCACUAGUUCGAUGCCGGUCUGACCCGGUGUCGGACGCAGAGAAAUUAUUAAGUGCACCGCCUGGGGAGUACGGUCGCAAGGCUAAAACUCAAAGGAAUUGACGGGGGCUCACACAAGCGGUGGAGCAUGUGGCUUAAUUCGAAACAACGCGAAGAACCUUAUCCUGGGUUUGACAUGUAUGGAUUAGCUUCUGGAAACAGGAGUGACGCGGCUUGCCGUGGAACAUACACAGGUGCUGCAUGGCCGUCGUCAGCUCGUGUCG
rnacentral:rRNA from 1 species